GGCGGGCGUGCCUAUACAUGCAGUCGAACGCGAGAAGGAGGAGCUUGCUCCUCCGGAUCGAGUGGCGGACGGGUGAGUAACACGUAGGCAACCUGCCCAUCAGCCGGGGAUAACUGCGGGAAACCGUGGCUAAUACCGGAUAAUCCCGACUGUCGAUGGACGGUUGGUUGAAAGGCGGCCUUUGGCUGCCGCUGAUGGAUGGGCCUGCGGCGCAUUAGCUAGUUGGUGGGGUAAGGGCCCACCAAGGCGACGAUGCGUAGCCGACCUGAGAGGGUGAUCGGCCACACUGGGACUGAGACACGGCCCAGACUCCUACGGGAGGCAGCAGUAGGGAAUCUUCCGCAAUGGACGCAAGUCUGACGGAGCAACGCCGCGUGAGUGAAGAAGGGUUUCGGCUCGUAAAACUCUGUUGUUAAGGAAGAAUGACAGGCAGAGUAACUGCUGCCUGUGUGACGGUACUUAACCAGAAAGCCACGGCUAACUACGUGCCAGCAGCCGCGGUAAUACGUAGGUGGCAAGCGUUAUCCGGAAUUAUUGGGCGUAAAGCGCGCGUAGGCGGUUUUUUAAGUCUGAUGUGAAAGCCCCCGGCUCAACCGGGGAGGGUCAUUGGAAACUGGGGAACUUGAGUGCAGAAGAGGAGAGUGGAAUUCCAUGUGUAGCGGUGAAAUGCGCAGAGAUAUGGAGGAACACCAGUGGCGAAGGCGGCUCUCUGGUCUGUAACUGACGCUGAUGUGCGAAAGCGUGGGGAUCAAACAGGAUUAGAUACCCUGGUAGUCCACGCCGUAAACGAUGAGUGCUAA
rnacentral:rRNA from 1 species